UCGGGUAAGAGCUCACACAGUGUAUUGGAAUCGGUGAAACAACACCAGCGUCUGCCCCAAGGACCAUGGACCGCGCUUGCAAAUGCGGAGACCCCAAGUGCACCUGCACGGCGCAGUGCGCGUGCGCCACCGGUGGAUGCGGCUGCGACAAGUGCAAGAAGUAACGGGACCGGAAUUUGAAGCGAACAACAUGGCGAGCUUGGGCCCUGCAAGACUUCUGUUGCGCGGGACCAGAGAAAAUAAGUAAACCCACGAAAGUUUUCCGAAGCACAUUUAUGCUUGACAGCU